GGCUAGAUAGCUCAGUUGGUAGAGCAUCCGACUAAAGAUUAAGGGGACCCGGAUUCGAAUCCCGGUCUGGUCC